UACGAAGGGGGCUAGCGUUGUUCGGAAUUACCGGGCGUAAAGCGCGCGCAGGCGGUUCUACAGGUCAGUGGUGAAAGCCCGGAGCUCAACUCCGGAACUGCCAUUGAAACUGCAGAACUUGAGGAUGAGAGAGGUGAGUGGAAUUCCCAGUGUAGAGGUGAAAUUCGUAGAUAUCGGAAGGAACACCAGUGGCGAAAGCGGCUUCCUGGUCCGACACCGACGUUCAGGCACGAAAGCGUGGGGAGCAAACAGG
rnacentral:rRNA from 1 species